rnacentral:tRNA from 1 species
GCCCCCGUAGCUCAAUGGAUAGAGCAAGUCUCUUCUAAGGACGUGAUGUGGGUCCGAUUCCUACCGGGGGCG